rnacentral:rRNA from 1 species
UACGGAGGGUGCGAGCGUUGUCCGGAAUCACUGGGCGUAAAGGGCGCGUAGGUGGCUCGUGAAGCGUGCGGUGAAAGUCCGAGGCUCAACCUCGGAUCGGCCGUGCGGACUCGCGGGCUCGAGCGUUGUAGAGGCGGGUGGAAUUCCGGGUGUAGCGGUGGAAUGCGUAGAGAUCCGGAAGAACACCGGUGGCGAAGGCGGCCCGCUGGGCAACUGCUGACACUGAGGCGCGAAAGCUAGGGGAGCAAACAGG